rnacentral:rRNA from 1 species
GAUGAACGCUGGCGGCGUGCCUAAUACAUGCAAGUCGAGCGAACAGAUGAGAAGCUUGCUUCUCUGAUGUUAGCGGCGGACGGGUGAGUAACACGUGGGUAACCUACCUAUAAGACUGGGAUAACUCCGGGAAACCGGGGCUAAUACCGGAUAAUAUUUUGAACCGCAUGGUUCAAUAGUGAAAGACGGUUUCGGCUGUCACUUAUAGCUGGACCCGCGCCGUAUUAGCUAGUUGGUAAGGUAACGGAUUACCAAGGCGACGAUACGUAGCCGACCUGAGAGGGUGAUCGGCCACACUGGAACUGAGACACGGUCCAGACUCCUACGGGAGGCAGCAGUAGGGAAUCUUCCGCAAUGGGCGAAAGCCUGACGGAGCAACGCCGCGUGAGUGAUGAAGGUCUUCGGAUCGUAAAACUCUGUUGUUAGGGAAGAACAAAUUUGUUAGUAACUGAACAAGUCUUGACGGUACCUAACCAGAAAGCCACGGCUAACUACGUGCCAGCCGCCGCGGUAA